CUACAGACAGGGUCCUACAGACAGGGGCCUACAACAGGGGCCUACAGACAAGGGCCUACAGACAGGUCCUGCAGCCCAAUAUUUCAACAUUGUAUUUUUCAAUAUUGGUCCUAAAAAGUUGUCUUUGAAGCAAUUUUUUUCCAUAAGUAACUUAUUGCAUUUUCUUAUUAGCACAAUAAAGGUGGCCAUUGAUUAAAAUGGAAUCUUUUGAAUCAGUUAUUGAUGUUGAAAUUCAGGCUUUUAUGUUGAAGUUUUUUUAAUAGAAAUGUUUUUUUUUUUUUUUGUGAAAUAAGGUGUCAAGAAUGUGUAUUUUAAUUGACCUGCCUGAUAAAGUUAAGGUAAAUAAACGCAUUAUAUGAGAGUGAUGUCAUUGUUUGUGCUGCUGGCAGAACAAAAGGUCAAACUGUGGUUUGUAAUGAUUCUGUGAACUCGUAGAUCAAAUAGCCAAAAGGGUGAUAGAACAUGAAUCAAUAGAUGCUCCACUGGGUCGAGCUGAGGCUCAAUGUAAGAUCAGAGACAUGUUGGUAGAUGUGUGGCAGAAGGGUUUGGAUUCAGAGACCAAGGGCCGGCAUUUAUAAUCCCUCCAAAGGAAGGUUGGAGGACCAAGAUUCCAAGGUCAGACUAGGAAAGAAGAGGUGGCUCCAAUACCAAAUCGUCCCUUAAGCCCUGCACCCCAUGUACUUGUGUAGA
ensembl:lncRNA